rnacentral:rRNA from 1 species
UACGGAGGGUGCAAGCGUUAUCCGGAUUCACUGGGUUUAAAGGGUGCGUAGGAGGGCAGGUAAGUCAGUGGUGAAAUCCCCAGGCUCAACUUGGGAACUGCGUCUGAUACUGGAUGGCUUGAAUUCGGGAGAGGGAUGCAGAAUUCCAGGUGUAGCGGUGAAAUGCGUAGAUAUCUGGAGGAACACCGGUGGCGAAGGCGGCAUCCUGGACCGGCAUUGACGCUGAGGCGCGAAAGCCAGGGGAGCAAACGGG